AUGGAUUCUGAUCCUUCCUGUUCUCUCACAGUCCCUGUGGUUCCAGCUGCUGAUGAAACAAGAAAACAACAGUGUAAAGGAGACAAAGUCCUCCAGACUGAAGGACCUGUUGUUGCUGCUGAAGGACGAACCGUCACUCUGGGAUGUACUUUUGAAACCAGUUCUACAGUUGCAUAUUUGUUUUGGUACAAACAAGAAGAAAACAGUUUUCCAGACUACAUAUUGAAAAGAAACAAUUUACCAACAGACAGUGCUCCAGGUUCCAUCAAAAACAAAUUUGAUGCAAAAAUCAACAAAUCUGAAGUUCCUCUGACGAUCCAGGAUCUUGAUGUGUCUGACUCUGCUGUGUACUACUGUGCUCUGAGGCCCACAGUGACAGGAAACAGCUAAACUCUGUCCAAAAACCUGCAGAGCAAAGACAACACAAUACUGCACAA